CCUGAACGCUGGCGGCGUGGUUAAGACAUGCAAGUCGUACGGGUGUAGCAAUACACCUGUGGCGAAGGGGUGAGUAAUGAAUCACUAACGUGCCCCGGACACUGGGAUAGCCGGCCGAAAGGUCGGGUAAUACCAAAUGAUAUUCCUGAUGCGCAUGCUUUAGGACUCAAAAGACUAAUCCGGUUUGGGAGCGGGCGAUUUCAUAUCACCUUGUUGGUGAGGUAACGGCUCACCAAGGCGACGACGCUUAGCCGGACUGAGAGGUUGACCGGCCACAUCGGGACUGAGACACUGCCCGGACUCCUACUGGGGGCUGCAGUAACGAAUCUUCCGCAAUGCACGAAAGUGUGACGGAACGACUCCGCGUGUGGGACGAAUCCCUUCGGGGUGUAAACCACUGUCACGGGAUACCAAGUUCUGAGGAUCCCCAGAGGAAGGCACGGCUAACUCUGUGCCGGCAGCCGCGGUAAGACAGAGGUGCCGAGCGUUAGGCGGAAUCACUGGGCUUAAAGCGUGUGUAGGCGGACUGAUAAGUACCUUGUGAAAUCCCACGGCUCAACCGUGGAACUGCUGGGUAUACUGUCGGUCUUGAGUCACCUAGAGGCGAGCGGAACAAAUGGUGGAGCGGUGAAAUGCGUAGAUAUCAUUUGGAACGCCAAUGGCGAAAGCAGCUCGCUGGGGGUGUACUGACGCUGAGACACGAAGCCCAGGGUAGCGAACGGGAUUAGAUACCCCGGUAGUCCUGGCCGUAACGAUGUCCACUAGAUCGUGGCACCUCUGACGGUGUCACGGUCGAAGCUAAAGUGCUAAGUGGACCGCUUGGGAAGUACGGUCGCAAGGCUAAAACUCAAAGGAAUUGACGGGGGCUCACACAAGCGGUGGAGCAUGUGGUUUAAUUGGAAGCAACGCGCAGAACCUUACCCGGGUUUGACAUGCCAGGAUUAUCCCUGGAAAGUAGGGUACGCCCUUCGGGGUGGAACUGGUACAGGUGCUGCAUGGCUGUCGUCAGCUCGUGUCGUGAGAUGUCGGGUUAAGUCCCUUAACGAGCGAAACCUUUGCCCUUAGUUACCAGCGGAUAAUGCCGGGGACUCUAAGGGGACUGCCGGUGUCAAACCGGAGGAAGGUGGAGAUGACGUCAAGUCUUCAUGGCCUCUAUGCCCAGGGCCACACACGUGUUACAAUGGGAUGGAUAGAGCGAGCCGAGACCGCAAGGUGGAGGAAAUCGCCGAAAUCAUCCCCCAGUUCAGAUCGGAGGUUGCAACUUGCCUCCCUGAAGUUGGAAUCGCUAGUAAUCGCGGAUCAGCCACGCCGCGGUGAAUAUGUUCCUGAGCCUUGUACACACCGCCCGU
rnacentral:rRNA from 1 species